CCUACGGGAGGCAGCAGGGAGGAAUAUUGGUCAAUGGGCGCGAGCCUGAACCAGCCAAGGAGCGUGAAGGAUGACUGCCCUACGGGUUGUAAACUUCUUUUAUAAAGGAAUAAAGUGAUGCACGUGUGCCUUUUUGUAUGUACCUUAUGAAUAAGGAUCGGCUAACUCCGUGCCAGCAGCCGCGGUAAUACGGAGGAUCCGAGCGUUAUCCGGAUUUAUUGGGUUUAAAGGGAGCGUAGAUGGGUUGUUAAGUCAGUUGGUAAAGUUUGUGGCUCAACCGUAAAAUUGCAAUUGAUACUGGCAGUCUUGAGUGCAGUUGAGGUAGGCGGAAUUCGUGGUGUAGCGGUGACAUGCUUAGAUAUCACGAAGAACUCCGAUUGCGAAGGCAGCUUACUAAACUGCAACUGACAUUGAUGCUCGAAAGUGUGGGUAUCAAACAGGAUUAGAUACCCUUGUAGUC
rnacentral:rRNA from 1 species